CCUACGGGUGGCAGCAGUGGGGAAUAUUGGACAAUGGGCGAAAGCCUGAUCCAGCCAUGCCGCGUGUGUGAAGAAGGCCUUCGGGUUGUAAAGCACUUUCAGUGGGGAAGAAAGCCUUGGGGCUAAUACCCUCGAGGAAGGACAUCACCCACAGCAGAAGCACCGGCUAACUCCGUGCCAGCAGCCGCGGUAAUACGGAGGGUGCGAGCGUUAAUCGGAAUUACUGGGCGUAAAGCGCGCGUAGGCGGUCUGAUAAGCCGGUUGUGAAAGCCCCGGGCUCAACCUGGGAACGGCAUCCGGAACUGUCAGGCUAGAGUGCAGAAGAGGAAGGUAGAAUUCCCGGUGUAGCGGUGAAAUGCGUAGAGAUCGGGAGGAAUACCAGUGGCGAAGGCGGCCUUCUGGACUGACACUGACGCUGAGGUGCGAAAGCGUGGGUAGCAAACAGGAUUAGAUACCCCGGUAGUC
rnacentral:rRNA from 1 species